GCGCGAGUGGCGUAACUGGUAGCCGCGCAGCCUUGAGGGGGCUGUGGGAGUAUUCCCGUGGAGGUUCAAGUCCUCUCUCGCGCACCA
rnacentral:tRNA from 1 species